rnacentral:rRNA from 1 species
GAUGAACGCUGGCGGCGUGCUUAACACAUGCAAGUCGAACGGAAAGGCCCAAGCUUGCUUGGGUACUCGAGUGGCGAACGGGUGAGUAACACGUGGGUGAUCUGCCCUGCACUUCGGGAUAAGCCUGGGAAACUGGGUCUAAUACCGGAUAGGACCUCUUUUUGUUUGGUGUGGUGGAAAGUUUUUCGGUGUGGGAUUAGCUCGCGGCCUAUCAGCUUGUUGGUGGGGUAAUGGCCUACCAAGGCGUCGACGGGUAGCCGGCCUGAGAGGGUGUACGGGCACAAUGGGACUGAGAUACGGACCAGACGGCAACGGGAGGCAGCAGUGGGGAAUAUUGCACAAUGGGGGCAAGCCAGAUGAAGAGACGCCGGGAGGGGGAUGACGGGCUUCGGGUUGUAAACAACUAUCGCAGGAGACGAAGCGAAAGUGACGGUACCUGGAGAAGAAGCACCGGCUAACUACGUG